rnacentral:rRNA from 11 species
GACUCUCGGCAACGGAUAUCUCGGCUCACGCAUCGAUGAAGAACGUAGCAAAAUGCGAUACUUGGUGUGAAUUGCAGAAUCCCGUGAACCAUCGAGUUUUUGAACGCAAGUUGCGCCCGAAGCCAUUCGGUUGAGGACGUCUGCCUGGCGUCA